CCGACUCUUAAUCGAGAUUCAUAGCUUCCGGACAUCACAAUUAUAGGUGACAGACGUUUGGCGGCUCCCCGGGACUUUUAGAGAAUUGACCUCGGGGUUAUCGGUGUGAAGGGUGUCGAUCAACUCAAAACUAAACGGGUGAAG
ensembl:ncRNA W09C2.11 ncRNA